rnacentral:lncRNA from 1 species
UAGAGCAAAGGUACCUGAACCCGCAGAUUCCUCGAUCCUCACCCAUUAUAGGCUCAUACGGACCAAGUUCAGUUCAGGGGAAUACAUUUCACUAUGACCAUGCGGAGGUGAAAAACCUCACGAAGACAUAGGUACAAAUGUAUCCCAGAAGUGAUCCCCUAGCCCAUGCGGAGGUGAAAACCUCACGAAGGCAUAGUUUCU